rnacentral:rRNA from 1 species
UACGUAGGCAGCAAGCGUUGUUCGGAAUUACUGGGCGUAAAGAGUGUGUAGGCGGUGCUCUAAGUUUGGUGUGAAAUCUCCCGCUUAACUGGGAGGGUGCGCCGAAAACUGGAAUGCUUGAACAUGGGAGAGGAAAGCGGAAUUCCUGGUGUAGCGGUGAAAUGCGUAGAUAUCAGGAGGAACACCUGCGGUGUAGACGGCUUUCUGGACCAUUGUUGACGCUGAGACACGAAGCGUGGGGAUCAAACAGG